AGAUUGCAUCAAGUUAUCUUGUGGGACCAAGUUAGAUGUUGAUUUUCCACGGACAUACAUACAUACCUCCAAUCUUUUGAAAACAUAUAAGAUAGAAAAAUUAUAUUUAGCUGAUCUCCUUCCGUCUCUCUAUUCUUUAACCGCGGGAGGCGCACACAACCUCUCUUCACGUAAGUGCCACCUCUGAUUUGUCCAUGCUUUGUGGUGACGAUCUGUACCAUAAAUCGACGCAAGUUUGUGAAGCCGCCGCCGCUUUCUAUAGUCGGAUCCAUCUGUCCUACAUUGUCAGCGAGACAAAUUGGUUGCAGUAAUCUCAGUUUCCUCACCAUUAUGUGCUAAGGAGUAUUCGGCCGUGAUCUCUUAUUCUCUUUUCCUCUCUUCCUAGGUCUGCCAUGAUUAAUGAUAGUCCCAGCUGACUGCUCUUUCAGUGCAGAGAUCAUAAUCGGUUCCAGCGAAAGGACGGGCUUCUUCACCUUCAAUUGAUCCAUCUGUGAUUUUAAGAUCAACUGCUCCCACGUCCAGGUUUGGCAUUGCCAUUAGGCAUUAGAUAUGGUUCAAUAAUAGUUUGCUUGAUUAAAUGAUUUUAUUAUGUUAUAUUAAUGGAUGUGUUUCACUCCCAAGCAAUCGAAAGAUGGACAAAUUUUGGGUGAUUACAACCCAAGCACUGCAAAAGUUAUCGAACUGUCAGACUCCUAUCUGAAUCCCGACAAAACAGGGCUGAGAUAAGGAGUGUGGGCACACCUGGGUGCAGCCACACCUUUCGAUCCAAGACAGAUGCUAAUAUGCAGAUUAAUAUAUUUUUCUAGGUCGGGACAAAGCUUUCAUACCCAUGUUAUUUUUACCUAACAUUUUCCCUAGAUGUUCAGGAGUUCAAAAUACCAAAUUAUCAUUGAUAUCUUCCGCAAAAAAAUAUAUCAUUGAUAUCAGUGUUCAGGAGUUCAGAAUGCAGUUAAAGUUCCAUGUGAUGUGAAUGACUCAAUUUCAGUAAAGAUAUGUUUGAUUGGUGAGGUCACCUCGAACAAUGAAGAUAUGAUUAAUUUGUGCUGGAUUAUUUGGAAGUAAUAUCUUCCUUUGCUUACAAAUAGUUUAUUUUUGCCUAUAAUCUAUUUGCGCGAGCGUUCCGAAAUACAAUAACCAGCUUUCAGGCAUUUUUAAUCAUGAUGCCCAAUUUUGAGUCUCCCUGCAGCACCGCCACCUUGAUCAUCAUGUGUUCCGAGAACUAAAACCGGACAGAUAGACGUCAGGUUCCCUUCUCUCCCUGC
rnacentral:lncRNA from 1 species